UGAAUAUAUUUAUUCGAAUAUAUUUUUUCGAACUAAAAAAAAUCAAACUGUAAGACCAACACAACUACGCGAUGAGUUUGAGUAAACUUUUUGCUGGUAGGAAGAGGAAUAGUUCAGUAUGGAAAUGGUUUAAAUACGAUGCGUCAUCCGACAAAUCAGUAUGUUUAGUUUUACUUGAUGGUGAAAAAGUAUGCAAUACAAAGUUGUGUGGAAAGAACCCAACAAAUCUUAAACUACAUUUAGCAAGAAACCAUAAGUCUGUACACGUUGAGCUGGAAGAGUCGGAAUUAAAGAAAUUAAGUGAAA